GUUUGCUCGUGUAGAAAAAGCACUUCAUUGAUGUAGUGGUGCAUCUUCUCAUUGGUCAUGUUGACACAAAGCUAUGCGGGGGAGAAAGAAAAACAAUUCACAAGGUAAUUAUGGCCAUGCAGAUCCACUCGUUCUAUGACCAUUUCAGAUGGGCGACAUAUUGACUCAAGAAUGUUCCACACCAAUUAAUCUAUUGAGAUAAAGCACUACAGUAUUGCUUGAGAAGUCAAAGAGAAGAGUUUCACCUGAUACUGUUGACUUCAUUUGGUCUGAUUAUUCAACUUAAACACCCACUGUUUGACCCAAAGUCAAAAUCUACAAAGGGCACUGCAGCAUGAACUUUGAAACUGCCAGUAAACGUGGCUAAUAUGAAAACAUCAGGGUAUGUCAGAUGUCUAGCUGAAAAUGGGGGGAAAAAAAUGGAUCCCAUCAACAAAACGAUGGCCCCAUUCAUGGCCAGAACCUACUUACUUAUUCCUGAUACGGCUUCACUGGUGUGUUGCAGAUGCAUAUGUGAGUGUAUAUUAAAUGCAAUGAGAAAAAGAUACAGGGAGGCAUGUUUCCAGGCAAAUUAGUUUACAUAUCUAGAAGCAUCGAUCUGCAUUGAAAACUGAGAAUAUGAUUGUCUUCACUGCAAAGCAACCAUUUUUACUUUUUGACAUCGUCCAUCAGAAUCCUAACCGGGUGGCACUGAAUCUCUGGGGAUUCCUCCGAGCGGCCUGGAUGCAAGAGAAGGAUCUACAGCCAAUGGGAGGCUUGAACUCAUCACCUUGAGAUCGAGUUCCACACUGUACUAACUGAGCCUGCCGGGCACCCUACCCAAGAAGACUUCUAGGCAUACUGUAUUUUGGAACUAGAACCCAAUAUUACUGCAAGUACAUUAAAAUAGCAGCUCAUUAUUUAAUUACUGGCUCUCUAUAGCACCUGAGUACCCCACUAGCUAGUGUUCUGCUAUGCAAAGAAACUAAAUUUUCUCAUGGAAAUUUUUCUUAAACUUUGAGUUGGAUAUUUAAUGUAUGUACA